AGAGUCGUUUUCACCUUUGCUUUGCUUUCGAGAAGCCGCCAUUCUUUCUAGGGUUUGUCAUGUUCUUCAAGCUCUGCCAACAAUGGAGGUUUGGAAAGGUGGAUUGAGACGAGUCUUUGUGAGUAAUCUAUGCGUUGAUUUCGUUUCAUGUCACCCCCCGAGCCGUUAGAGUAGCAUGAUUCAUUUCCAUUAAUGAGUUCUUAACUCUUUCGCCACACUACAAUCAUUCAAUGAUCCUUAUCUCUCUUCGAGGCGGUGAAUCUCCAUCUAUAAAAAGAUGCGUCCUUUAACAGUCUGGUUCAAACUUAUUGCAACUGCAUCUGCAAAGGCAAGAGUAAGAGGACAAGGGUCUCCGAGGUUUGGUCAAGAGAAGCCUGAGAAGAACGGAAUUACAAGGCGUCACUCUUCCUCCUGGAUCAAAUGGGAAGCUGAGUGCAAUGUCUCCAAGAGCUCACAGACUUCUCAUAGCUUCAGCUAAGGGUUCAAUGAACAGUGACAGAUCUUUUUCGUCUUUCAAGGAUUACUGAUAAAUCGACCAAAGCUGAGUGAAAACGGUGAAUGUCUUUUGAGGAAAUAGAGAAAGCAAUCAUGGUCGUCUUACAUGGUUGGACAAAGCUCUGAAACCUUUUUAACCAUUUUAGCUGUUUUGUUUCUAUGUUUCCUGUGCGUUUUGCUUUUGUUUGGUGUGGUGAGUCUUUGACAUGUUCUCUUUAGGUUUACUCUUAGAUGCUUUGUCUUCUCAAACAAAAAGGUUUUUUAGUAUAUAGUUAUUAUAAAUGCUUCUCUUAAAUCA